UUUAUAUUGAGACCUAUUUAC
rnacentral:siRNA from 1 species